GACGAACGCUGGCGGCGUGCUUAACACAUGCAAGUCGAACGGAAAGGCCCUGCUUUUGUGGGGUGCUCGAGUGGCGAACGGGUGAGUAACACGUGAGUAACCUGCCCUUGACUUUGGGAUAACUUCAGGAAACUGGGGCUAAUACCGGAUAGGAGCUCCUGCUGCAUGGUGGGGGUUGGAAAGUUUCGGCGGUUGGGGAUGGACUCGCGGCUUAUCAGCUUGUUGGUGGGGUAGUGGCUUACCAAGGCUUUGGCGGGUAGCCGGCCUGAGAGGGUGACCGGCCACCUUGGGACUGAGAUACGGCCCAGACUCCAACGGGAGGCAGCAGUGGGGAAUAUUGCACAAUGGGCGGAAGCCUGAUGCAGCAACGCCGCGUGCGUGAUGACGGCCUUCGGGUUGUAAACCGCUUUCGCCUGUGACGAAGCGUGAGUGACGGUAAUGGGUAAAGAAGCACCGGCUAACUACGUG
rnacentral:rRNA from 1 species